GACAUAGGCGGCGAACGUUAUCCGGUAUUAUUGGGUGUAAAGGGUGCGUAGGCUGUUUAGUAAGUUAAUGGUGGUAAAUUAAAGCUCAACUUUACGGAGCUGUUAAUACUGCUAGACUUGAGAGCAGGAGAAGUUAACGGAACUUUACGUGGAGUAGUGAAAUACUUAGAUAUGUAAGGGAACACCAAAGGCGAAGGCAGUUAACUAUUCUGUUUCUGACGUUGAGGCACGAAAGCGUGGGGAGCAAAAAGG
rnacentral:rRNA from 1 species